GAAUUCGCCCUUAGAGUUUGAUCCUGGCUCAGGACGAACGCUGGCGGCGUGCUUAACACAUGCAAGUCGAACGGAGGUUACGAGGAAGCUUGCGAAUUGUGACCUUAGUGGCGGACGGGUGAGUAACGCGUGGAUAACCUGCCUAUCAGACCGGGACAACACCGGGAAACUGGUGCUAAUACCGGAUACGCUCACAGAUACACAAGUAAGUGUGAGGGAAGGAGGAAUCCGCUGAUAGAUGGGUCCGCGUCCCAUUAGCUAGUUGGCGGUGUAAUAGACCACCAAGGCGACGAUGGGUAGCCGGCCUGAGAGGGUGGACGGCCACACUGGAACUGAGACACGGUCCAGACUCCUACGGGAGGCAGCAGUGGGGAAUCUUCCGCAAUGGGCGAAAGCCUGACGGAGCAACGCCGCGUGAGUGAUUAAGGCCUUCGGGUUGUAAAACUCUGUCAUCAGGGAAGAAAAUAAUGACGGUACCUGAGAAGGAAGCCCCGGCUAACUACGUGCCAGCAGCCGCGGUAAAACGUAGGGGGCGAGCGUUGUCCGGAAUUACUGGGCGUAAAGGGCGCGUAGGCGGUUGUCCAAGUCAGAGGUGAAAACUCUGGGCUCAACUCAGAGCGUGCCUCUGAAACUGGGCGACUUGAGGGCAGGAGAGGGGAGUGGAAUUCCCAGUGUAGCGGUGAAAUGCGUAGAUAUUGGGAGGAACACCAGUGGCGAAGGCGACUCUCUGGCCUGUUUCUGACGCUGAGGCGCGAAAGCGUGGGGAGCGAACGGGAUUAGAUACCCCGGUAGUCCACGCCGUAAACGAUG
rnacentral:rRNA from 1 species